AAUUGCAUUUACGCCUUUUUGUUGUCCCAACGUUUGAUUUCAUGUUAAUAUAACAAGGCUUUUGUAUUGUUGUUGUUAUAAAUUAGAAUAAUUAGUUAAACACAUCUCAACAACACUAAAAAUGUUAAACAAUAAUUUUAUGUCCAGUCAAAUAAAUUAUCCAAGUCUACUUGACUUUUGAGCAUUAAAAUAUAUGUCCACUGGGUGGCGGUAAGUGGCGCAAAGUUUGUUUCGCAUGUGCCUAUGAUAACGGAAGAAGAAGUCAACGGAGCUCUCAGCUCAGUCAAGCAGUCUUUCACGCGUGCAAUGUUCUGUCCAGAAGGACUAAUGACUCCAUUUAGGGUUAAAACCAACUACUUUGUCCAUCUAAAGGUGACACUGAACCAGUUCAACAGAGGCCCACCACUUUGAUUCUAUUUUGAAGGUGCCCAUGAUGAAAAGGCCUUUUACACCGUAUGAAGUGGACCUGUAAACUUGGUACUUUUUUCUGUGGAAAUCUAUUUCAGAUCCAAACAAUCCUUGCAUGUCCAUCUGAGAGAUCAUGGACUCAAUGAAAACACUAAUGGACUAAUAAGCUUUAAGCCUGGUAUUUGGAGCACCUUCGUUGUUACGAAUUCUGCAAGAAAGAUCCAGAUCAACUGAUGGCCACUGAACCCAGUGAACUAAACCACUACCUUCCACUGUCAUCCUACGCUGUCCAAGGCCGACUGGUGAUUUCUCCAAAGGUGUUUCUUGUACAUUGAGACAACCUUGUAAUGUAGCAAGUUGGUGAAAUGAUGAACAUCACAUUCCCCCUACGAAGAAAAGAAAUAGUUGAAAAUCAACCUCUUGCGGCUGAAGUCAAAGAAGGGUGGCCAGCCCUGUUCAAAGAACAGCAGGCACAUUUCGAUUUUUCUCUUUCACACAUUUGUCAACUUUUUGUCUUUUUUAAAAAGUUGUGUAAAGUUGCAAAUUUUGUUGUUGUCACCUUCAAUUACAGAUUGAAGCAGAGUUUGCUCGGCUGACAUCUGUUGACCUGAAGAAGUCUUUCUUCAGUGGACUGGAUCAGCAUUUGCCAAGGUUCCUGGAGCUGUUCAAGGCCAAGAGUGGGAAAUCAGCUGGACUAAGCAGGCAGCUUAAAUGUCUUGAUGACUCCUCUAUACUGAGGAAGAGGUCAUUUGUUCUUCCGGUGCCUUCCGUAUUUUCUCAAGGAUGAUCCUUCAAAUGCAUUCAAGACUGUUCAGGUGAGCAUUUGUAUCAAAAAUGAUCUGUGAACAAUUUCUUUAUAAGUGAAAGUAGUGAUGUGAUAUUAGAUGUAGUUAUAUAAAGAAGGGUUUUAAAGCCAUACUAUGCAACUUUUUCACAUUAUUAAAUCACUUUCUGGAGCCAGUAUGUGCUAAAAUGAACCUUUGCUGGGGUGAUGAAAUGUCACACAGACCCUUAAGCUUGGUUUAUGCUUGACGCAUUCACUUUCCGCGCGGUGAUGCGGCUCGCGGAUGGAACACACUUCACAACUCGCAGCGUUUAUGGUUCGUGCGGCUCGUCUCUGCGGUGAGCCAAUAUUCUCCCAAACUGAACGGGGCAGCAUAGAGCUCUACGGCAUGUAUCCAACACUACACCAUAGUAGAAGUAGAAAUUACUGUUUACAGCAUGGCAUUUCAGCAUUUUUAACAGCGUCCUCAUCUUUUCCGACAGUGCGAGCUAUUUCUCUCCAAGAAUUAUUAACAACAUGUUGAUCACGGUGAUCUCUGAGAGCUGAAUCAUACAAAUGUCUGUAUUUACGAACCUCUGCCAUAUUAGUUCUUGCCGGUCCGCCAUGUUUUUACGCGUGGUUAGAAAUUUUCCUAGGUGCGCGUUGCGGAAAUUUUGGGCCGUGUGGAGACGCGGUGGAGGGGCCUGGUUGUUAAAAUGAUGCAACUUUUCCACGCGGAGCCGUGCGGACACGUCAAGCAUAAACCAACCUUUACCGCCCUCUGUUCUGCAGCUCUCCUCAAUGAGAGGGGGGAUGGGGGC